ACUGUGGCCCCUCACCCCACCCCAGCCACCAGACCAGGGCUCUGCACAUAAUAGACACUUAAUACAUGUUUAUGGAAUUGAAUUAACGAUAAAACGAGAUAAUGGCCUGGAAGGAGCCUGAGUUGUUAGGAGGGAAUGCACAGCGUAAAAACCAGGCAUAUUUUUUUAAGCAGAUUAAUCUGGUCUUAACUCAUUCUAAUAGCCUGCGCCCCUAUUGGCCGAGGCCAUUAUAAUAAUAUACAGCCAGGGCCGCUGAGCUGGGAAGACAGCGGUGGCUUAAGUUCGCCUUCGUCUUCUUUGCAGGAUCCACAGCAAGCUGCAUCCUAGCUAUCCACAUUGGAGCCCAGGGAGCCAGGGGACCUGCCUGGCUUUCACAGAUGGGUAGGAGAGAGUACGAAGAGACCAAGGCUCAGAGAAGCUGUGGGGCUCACCUGAAGUUGGGACUUCAGCAUGUACUUCGUGGUUGGCCUUGCAGCUUCAAGGAGAGACUCUGCAAAUUCCUGCCAGCAGCCCAGAUGGGCUUCGCUCAGUGGCCGCUGUUGCAAGCAGGAAUCCUAAAUCUGCGUGACCACCGGGCCCAGCACCCUGGACAGCAGCGGCCUGGCCCUGCCCUCUUGGGGUCCGAGGGAGGUCGUGUCAUCCCCCUCCCCAUCAGCCUCUCCAGGCCUCCUUGGCACUCCUGGAGUCUUUAGUCUUCAGCUCAGGCUGGUAAUUAAAAACCUUCAAGGGGGACUUUAUUGAGUUAGCAUUAGUUAUUUUGUCAGGCUGGGAAAGCGAGAGAAUUAUCUGUCCUCCGGGAGAGAGGGCAGGGGCUGGGGCCUCGGGCUGAGAUUGGCAGGUGCCGGAGCGGAGCGCGCAGGCGGUGGGGC
rnacentral:lncRNA from 1 species